UGUAUUCUUGUUUCUCAUGCUUUUGGAAACGAGUCCACAAAAACAUCAUUAAGGUCAGUGUUAAUAAACUUACCAUCUUUGUUAUUGUUUCAGAUCUUACGUUCAAGUCUUUAAACCAGUUGAACUGAUUUUAGUUUAGGGAGUAAGAUAGUGACCUACUCGGCCUCCGUGGUGGUGCAAGGGGUUAAGCACAGCACUAUGAAGCUAUCCGCCCUCUGCAGCCCGAGUUAGAUCCCCAGGGAGCUACCUACAUGACGCAGCAGACCUCUCCUGUCUUGCCUGCUGUUCCCCUCAGCAGUGUAUUUCAGUCAGUCUGCCUGUCGUGUGCCCCACUCUCUCUGGUGAAUCCUGUCACCCUCUUCUGUGCAUAAAUAUAUCUUUAAAAAAAAGAUAGUGACCUACUUUCAUUCUUUUGCAUGUGGCUCAGACCUGAAGAUAAGACUGGUUUGGUGGAACAAUGUUUCAGUUGAAGGCUUAUGGGAAUGGUUUCUUUCAUGCUGUAUUAUUCCUAAUUAUCAUCCACUUGCAAUAUAGUAGCAGCAUUAAGGUUGUUUUAAACUUUUCUAACCUCUUGUCAUUUUUUUGUUAGAAUCAAGUGUUCCUACCUGCCAGGGGGAACUGAGGCAUUGGAAAACUGGUCACUACACUUUAAUUCAUGACAACAGCAAGACUGAAUUUGCCCUGGACCUAAUUCUGUACUGUGGCUGUGAAGGCUGGGAGCCAGAAUAUGGUGGCUUUACUUCCUACAUUGCCAAAGGUGAAGAUGAAGAGCUGCUAACAGUGAAUCCAGAAAACAAUUCUUUGGCACUAGUCUACAGAGACAGAGAGACUCUGAAAUUCGUGAAGCAUAUUAGCCACCGAAGUCUAGAACAAAAGAAAACCUUCCCAAAUAGAACAGGUUUCUGGGACUUUUCAUUCGUCUAUUAUGAAUGACAGGGCUGGGCAAAGCUGAAAAAAAGGAAACAUCUUCAGUACUGGAAAGUCUGGAAGUGCCAAGCACAGAGAAAAGAUCCACAAAGUGACCUGUCUGACAGUGUUCCUGAGCUGCGUGGCUGGCCCUUAAAAGCACUCAUGAUUGUCUUCAUCCUAGACCUUGAACUUGGUGCUAGGUAUACAGUUCAGGGGCAGUAAGGACAUUCGUACUACUAUGUGACCAUCAUCACCACCAUCUCCAGAACUUUCCCAGCUUCCCCAUAUGAAACUGUCCCCAUUAAGCAUUAACUCCCACUCUCACUCCUAGUCUAUGUUCUGUGUCUGGGAGUUGUACUACUUGUAUCUUCAUAAGUGGAAUCACAGUAUCUAUCCUUUUGUGACUAGCUUAUUUCAAUUGACAUAAAGUUUUCAAGGUUCAUCCAUGCGUCAUCUUUUUUUUUAAAAAAAAAUACUUAAAUGAGCUAAUCACACUGGUUUAGGGAAUGACAGAAUCUUACAUCCUGUUCAAGCUCAGCCCAUCACAGUUCCUCCUGGUGUUUCUGGCUUUGCUGCACUGUCACUCUCCCAGGAGAGUGUGGACUUAGAUGGUGGAUCAAGUGCCCUUGGAAACAGCUUGUACCACGUGGCCUCAGGAGACUUUCGCUCAGCAAAGAAGGCAGACUGACCACUAGACCACAUGGAGUCAGUGCCAGAUACCCCUGCAUUUCCAUCCUGGAGUUGUGGCUUCUGUAAAACUAGAUGAUUUUAGCUCCACAUGUAGCUUUCUGUUUCCUGAAUGCUCUUAAGUCAACUAUAAAACUAGUUGCGGGCCUCCCUGGUGGGACAGCGGGUUGAGGGCACCACUGUGGAACUGUCUGCAGCCUCUGUAGUGUGGUUUUGAUCCCGGCCAGCAGGCAAGAAUCCCACAUGGCAUGGCAGACCUCUCCUGUCACGCCUGCUGCUCCCCUCAGCAGUUUAUUUCCAUCGUCUGCCUGUUCUGUUCCCCACUCUGUCUCUACUGAAUCCACUCACCCUCCUGUGCCUCUGGCCUGUAUCCCAGCUCUUGUAUAAAAAUAAAAAUAAAUCUUAAAAAAAAAAAAAAAAAAACUAGUUGCCAGGCCUCCCUGGUAGCCUAGGGGUUAAGUGUCAGCUCUCUCACUGCUAUAGCAUGAGUUCUAUCCCUGGCCUGGGAGGUGACCCACAUGGCGCAGACCUCUCCUGUCUCGCCCACUGCUCCCCUCAGCAGUGUAUUACAGUAGAUCCACCUGUUCUUCCCACUUUGCCUCUGGUGAAUCCUCUCACACCCCUGCACCGCUAGCCUACACCCCAGUUCUACGCAAAAAUAAAAUUAAAAAAAUAAAACUAAUUGCCUUUUUUUUCUUUAAGAGAGCAAGUGCUAAAAAAAUUAAAAAACCAUCAAAAUGCCAAGAGGCUGUCCAUUUGUAACAUUCUUUUUUUCCUGAGCCGUUUGAGGGUAUUCUACAACUACUGCCUUUGUGUGUGGGUGUACAAGGGUGGAUGUAGGUGUGAUGGCAUCUUUAAUUGAAAGAUGCUGCCUUCAUUCCAUUCCAGUACUGUUUCCCAGUUUCCUACCAACUAUAAUAGCUUUUAUUUGGGGUUUUACUAGUUAACAGG